rnacentral:rRNA from 1 species
CAGCAGCCGCGGUAAUACGGAGGGAGCUAGCGUUGUUCGGAAUUACUGGGCGUAAAGCGCGCGUAGGCGGUUACUCAAGUCAGAGGUGAAAGCCCGGGGCUCAACCCCGGAACUGCCUUUGAAACUAGGUGACUAGAAUCUUGGAGAGGUCAGUGGAAUUCAGAGUGUAGAGGUGAAAUUCGUAGAUAUUCGGAAGAACACCAGUGGCGAAGGCGACUGACUGGACAAGUAUUGACGCUGAGGUGCGAAAGCGUGGGGAGCAAACAGGAUUAGAUACCCCUGUAGUCCCUGUCUCUUAUAC